rnacentral:misc_RNA from 1 species
GAUGAAGAACGUAGCGAAAUGCGAUACUUGGUGUGAAUUGCAGAAUCCCGUGAACCAUCGAGUCUUUGAACGCAAGUUGCGCCUCAAGCCAUUAGGUUGAGGCACGUCUGCCUGGGCGUCACAUAUCGUUGCCUGAUGCCAGUUUCCUCGUGAUGGGUGACUGUGCAGGGCGAAUGAUGGCUUCCCGUGAGCAUUGUUGCCUCAUGGUUGGUUGAAAAUUGAGUCCUUGGUAGGGAGCGCCGUGAUAGAUGGUGGUUGAGUGACGAACGAGACCCAAUCAUGUGAGACCCCUACCGAAUUUGGCCUUCAUGACCCACAUGCGUCUUUGGAACGCUCAUGACGAGACCUCAGGUCAGGCGGGGCUACCCGCUGAGUUUAAGCAUAUCAAUAAGCGGAGGA